rnacentral:rRNA from 1 species
GAACGCUGGCGGCGUGCCUAAUACAUGCAAGUAGAACGCUGAAGAGAGGAGCUUGCUCUUCUUGGAUGAGUUGCGAACGGGUGAGUAACGCGUAGGUAACCUGCCUUGUAGCGGGGGAUAACUAUUGGAAACGAUAGCUAAUACCGCAUAACAAUGGGUGACACAUGUCAUUUAUUUGAAAGGGGCAAUUGCUCCACUACAAGAUGGGCCUGCGUUGUAUUAGCUAGUAGGUGAGGUAACGGCUCACCUAAGCGACGAUACAUAGCCGACCUGAGAGGGUGAUCGGCCACACUGGGACUGAGACACGGCCCAGACUCCUACGGGAGGCAGCAGUAGGGAAUCUUCGGCAAUGGGGGCAACCCUGACCGAGCAACGCCGCGUGAGUGAAGAAGGUUUUCGGAUCGUAAAGCUCUGUUGUAAGUCAAGAACGAGUGUGAGAGUGGAAAGUUCACACUGUGACGGUAGCUUACCAGAAAGGGACGGCUAACUACGUGCCAGCAGCCGCGGUAAUACGUAGGUCCCGAGCGUUGUCCGGAUUUAUUGGGCGUAAAGCGAGCGCAGGCGGUUUGAUAAGUCUGAAGUUAAAGGCUGUGGCUCAACCAUAGUUCGCUUUGGAAACUGUCAAACUUGAGUGCAGAAGGGGAGAGUGGAAUUCCAUGUGUAGCGGUGAAAUGCGUAGAUAUAUGGAGGAACACCGGUGGCGAAAGCGGCUCUCUGGUCUGUAACUGACGCUGAGGCUCGAAAGCGUGGGGAGCGAACAGGAUUAGAUACCCUGGUAGUCCACGCCGUAAACGAUGAGUGCUAGGUGUUGGAUCCUUUCCGGGAUUCAGUGCUGCAGCUAACGCAUUAAGCACUCCGC